rnacentral:rRNA from 1 species
CCUACGGGUGGCAGCAGUCGAGAAUUUUUCACAAUGGGCGCAAGCCUGAUGGAGCGACGCCGCGUGGGGGAUGAAUGGCUUCGGCCCGUAAACCCCUGUCAUUUGCGAUCAAGGCGGCCGGCCUAAUACGCCGGCCGUUGAUAGUAGCGAAAGAGGAAGGGACGGCUAACUCUGUGCCAGCAGCCGCGGUAAU